rnacentral:tRNA from 2 species
GCGAAUGUAGCUCAGCUGGUAGAGCACUGGCUUCCCAAGCCAGCUGUCGCGGGUUCGAAUCCCGUCAUUCGCU